rnacentral:rRNA from 1 species
GAUCAUGGCUCAUGAUGAACGCUAGCUACAGGCUUAACACAUGCAAGUCGGAGGGGCAGCAUGGUCUUAGCUUGCUAAGGCUGAUGGCGACCGGCGCACGGGUGAGUAACACGUAUCCAACCUGCCGUCUACUCUUGGCCAGCCUUCUGAAAGGAAGAUUAAUCCAGGAUGGGAUCAUGAGUUCACAUGUCCGCAUGAUUAAAGGUUAUUUUCCGGUAGACGAGUGGGG